UGAGGAAUAUUGGUCAAUGGACGGAAGUCUGAACCAGCCAAGUAGCGUGCAGGAAGACGGCCCUAUGGGUUGUAAACUGCUUUUAUACGGGGGUAAAGUGUGCCACGCGUGGCAUAUUGCAAGUACCGUAAGAAAAAGGAUCGGCUAGUUCCGUGCCAGCAGCCGCGGUAAUACGGAAGAUCCGAGCGUUAUCCGGAUUUAUUGGGUUUAAAGGGAGCGUAGGCGGAAGUUCAAGUCAGCUGUGAAAGUUUGUGGCUUAACCAUAGAAUUGCAGUUGAAACUGAAUUUCUUGAGUGUACAUAAGGAUGGUGGAAUUUGUGGUGUAGCGGUGAAAUGCAUAGAUAUCACGAAGAACUCCGAUUGCGAAGGCAGCCAUCCGGGGUACAACUGACGCUGAGGCUCGAAAGUGCGGGAAUCAAACAGG
rnacentral:rRNA from 1 species